AUGGAUCUAAACCCACAAGUCUUGUGUUGGAACGCGCGAGGAUUGAAUGACCCGGUGAAGAAGGCGGUUAGAGAAUUUGUAUCGUCAGUUAGAGUUAACUUAGUGUGGCUCCAAGAGACCAAACUGGAUGUAAUUGACAAUUUUUGUGUGAUGCAAUGCCUAGGCCCGUCGUUUGACGGCUUCACGUACUUGCCUUCGGUUGACACUAGAGGGGGGGUCCUUCUUGCUUGGGACUCAACCAUCAUGGAGAUUGAUAGCAUUCAUCUAGAUAGUAACUUCCUCACAGGUUUGGUGCAUAACAAAGAUGGGGCCUCAUGGUGGAUUUCGGUGGUUUAUGGACCACAAGGAGAUGAUCUCAAAACUCUGUUUCUGGAAGAAUUGCGAGCUAGAAGAGUUGGCUGCCCAGGCCCUUGGAUGGUUCUCGGCGACUUUAACAUGAUCCUUCAGGUGUCGGAGAAGAACAAUACUAACCUGAACAGGGCUAUGAUGCGAAAGUUCUGGGAUUUCGUGGACACACAUGAGCUCAAAGAGUUGUACAUGCACGGCAGAAAUUUCACCUAG
rnacentral:rRNA from 1 species